rnacentral:rRNA from 1 species
UACGAAGGGGGCUAGCGUUGCUCGGAAUCACUGGGCGUAAAGGGUGCGUAGGCGGGUCUUUAAGUCAGGGGUGAAAUCCUGGAGCUCAACUCCAGAACUGCCUUUGAUACUGAAGAUCUUGAGUCCGGGAGAGGUGAGUGGAACUGCGAGUGUAGAGGUGAAAUUCGUAGAUAUUCGCAAGAACACCAGUGGCGAAGGCGGCCCACUGGCCCGGUACUGACGCUGAGGUGCGAAAGCGUGGGGAGCAAACAGG